GAGAAUUCUAAGGCGCUUGAGAGAAACCAUGCUAAGGAACUCUGCAAAAUGAGUCCGUAACUUCGGAAGAAGGGCUGCCAACUAGGUGAAGUUUUUUACAAAUGGAGCUAAAGUUGGUCGCAGUGAAAAGGUCCAGGCGACUGUUUAUCAAAAACAUAGCACUAUGCGAACUCGUAAGAGGAAGUAUAUGGUGUGACUCCUGCCCGG
rnacentral:rRNA from 1 species